rnacentral:lncRNA from 1 species
GGACAACAAAAUUAUUUAGCGGCGAUGGCGCUCGAACAAGAAAGAGGAAGAACAGCGGGCAACAUACGGCCAUUACAACACGGGGCACAAGAAAAGCAUCAACCACACCACACACUCAUCGAACCGUCCAAGCCAAGCUGCCUACGUUGUUGACCGGCUGCUAGCCACCGACGACGACGUGCUCUCACAGGAAACGGUUCAGGAAUUCGUCAACGGUGGUGUACUUGACGUCAGGGAACAGAGCCGUGGCCUCCACGCCGAAAGAUGGCUCGAUCUCGAAGUUGGUGUGGUCACCCUUCACAAAGGCGGAGUGGCAAAUAGAGAGCAUGACGUUGAGAGGGAUUGGCGCCUCUGAAAGAGAGAAGCAAUUGGGUUAGCAGACGGGCUAACAGGUCAUGGAAGUAUUACGCACAGAAAGGAAGUUCCUAAGCACCUUGGAUCUGCUUCAGGACUUCUUCUUCUGGGACGUAGACCCUCUCGAAGGUCUUGCCGACCUUCUUCUCCCAGAGGGAAAUGAGCUCGUUAUGAGACAAGAUGUUGGCGGAAGGUCUCAGAUAUAGAACCUUGUUCAGGGUUCUCGGAUCAUCCACUGCUUUAAUUGUGUAUGUCCCGAUGUCGUCUUCAUUGAGAAAGAUCGCUGUUGUAGGAGGAAAAAAAACGCCAUUAAAUAAGAGAUGGCCAUAUAUUUUACAUCUUGCAAAAGAAGACGAAGAGGAAUUCACGCCAUACCUUUUGUGUUCCCGUCACCUAAGAUGACAACCUUGUCCGUGGGAGGACCAGUGGCUCCUGCCUGUCCCAAUACCGGGAGGAAAUACCCACCGAAGAAGUUGGAAGAUACAAAGGUGUAAGGGAUCCCCGAUGCCUCAACAGCCCUUCUAAUUUGUUGCUUGACGACAAAGGUCGACUUUGCUGGCUCCACAGCAUGGCUUCGGUCUACGUCGUUGCCAAACUCCGAUGGAAGGUACCUCUGCGAUCUCACCCAUGAUGCAAACAAUCAGCUUGAAACUUUUAGGAGGAGGAAGCCACAUUUUGAUGUGCAUUCGGUUGUUCAAAUCAACAUCUUUGAUAUUAAAUAUGGAAUGUUUGGUAUCUACCGCAACAAUGGUCAUAAUUCCUACCCAAUUCAUUGUGAUGUUGCUCUGGUUUAUUCCAUUAUCUGAUAGUGUUCACCAAUACGGCAAUAAAUUUUCUACCUUAUAAUACAUCAAGAAACAAAAGCAGCCCAAAAAUUGGACUAAAAGAUCAUCUUCAAUUCAAAAAACAUCAAGUAAAUGGCUAACGUCAGUCAUCCUAAGAGGAUUUAUAUCAUAAUCUGUUCAACACUAUUUACUCUUAGUUCUUGAGGGGUUUAGGAAUUCAAGUGUGUGCAAAAUCAUUCACCCCUUAAGAGGACAGGGAAUGACAAAAAAAAUCGUUUUUUUUAAUGUAGCACUUCUUCUUUUUAUUUUCUUUGUUUCCCCAACAAUUUCAGAGUAAUAAAUUAUGGAGAUUAUGGCACAUAUCUUUUGAUUUAGAUCAGAUCCUGUUCGGGACAGGGCUUUUCUUCCUCCCCUGUCCCCCCUCCUCCUUGCCAACAUCCUUCCCCUUUCCGAUUACUACCGAUUGCAUCGUAGAUUAAAAGAAUUGUAGAGGAGGAAAAAGGGGCACCUUGAUGUGUCCUCCGGCUUCUUUGAUGGCGUCGAUGAUCUUGGUCUGAUCACUCAGCUGCCCGAAGCCGACGGGGGAGAUGACCACAUCCACCAGCUUGAUCGCCUUAACCAGACUCUCGUGGUUAUAUAUAUCCCCCUAUCGAUCAGACGACAGGACGAAGCUCUCAUCAGAAAAAGGGCUCCCGGAGGGAGAAGAAGAGGAGCGCGGUGUGGUGCGGUUGGCAUCAACUUUACCUGGACCAGGGUGACGCCAGCGGCCUGGAAGUCGCUCAGGAGCUUGGCCUUCUCGGGUUGGCCGGCGGGGGCGGUGGUGCUCCGGACGAGAGCGAAGGUAGGGUUACCUAACCUGGCGCUCGCAAACACGAUGAACUUGCCGAUGUACCCGGUGCCCCCGAUGAUCAGGAUUUUGCUCUUCUCGCUCGCCAUUCUCUCCUCGGUCAACGAUUAUCUCCUUC